rnacentral:misc_RNA from 1 species
GAACCAGGUCGCCAUGAACCCCACCAAUACCGUGUUCGAUGCCAAGCGUUUAAUUGGGAGGCGGUUCAAUGAUGCCACAGUGCAGGCCGACAUAAAGUUGUGGCCUUUCAAGGUCACAGCUGGGCCUGGAGAUAAACCUAUGAUCAGUGUCCAGUACAAGGGGGAGGAGAAGCAAUUUGCCGCAGAAGAAAUUUCGUCGAUGGUGCUGAUAAAGAUGAGGGAGAUUGCCGAGGCUUUCCUUGGGUCCACUGUCAAGAAUGCCGUGGUCACAGUACCUGCCUACUUCAAUGAUUCCCAGCGCCAGGCUACCAAGGAUGCAGGUGUCAUUGCCGGUCUCAAUGUCAUGAGGAUCAUCAAUGAGCCUACUGCUGCCGCCAUCGCCUAUGGCCUCGACAAGAAAGCUACGAGCACUGGCGAGAAGAAUGUGUUGAUUUUUGAUCUUGGAGGGGGGACUUUCGAUGUCUCUCUCCUCACCAUUGAAGAGGGGAUCUUUGAAGUGAAGGCCACUGCCGGA